UACGGAGGAUGCAAGCGUUAUCCGGAAUGAUUGGGCGUAAAGCGUCCGUAGGUGGUCAUGUAAGUCUGUGGUUAAAGAGUGGAGCUUAACUCCAUAAAGGCCAUGGAAACUACACGACUAGAGUUAAGUAGGGGUAGAGGGAAUUCCCAGUGUAGCGGUGAAAUGCGUAGAGAUUGGGAAGAACACCGGUGGCGAAAGCGCUCUACUGGACUUGGACUGACACUGAGGGACGAAAGCUAGGGGAGCGAAAGGG
rnacentral:rRNA from 1 species